rnacentral:lncRNA from 1 species
CAAAGUAGAUAGUCCAUAAAUAAUCUUCAUCCAGUUGGGGGCACCAUUAUUUGUGGUGUUCCGUCACCUAAAAUGGAGCGGGAAGCUUAAGUCCCAAUCGCCAAAGGACAGUCCUAAGCCUUACAAUGGUCAGUAUUAUGAGUAUUACUAGGUCCGGGCAUGUGACGGACCAUUGCAACCAUCUCAAGCACGAGAUCCGGGAUUUAAUCGAUUAUGGAGAAUGGGAGGUUGAG